rnacentral:lncRNA from 1 species
UUUGAGACAGAGUCUUGCUCUGUCACCCAGGCUGCAGUGCAGUGGUGUGAUCUCAGCUCACUGCAACCUCCACCUCCCAGGCUCAAGUGAUUCUCCUGCCUCAGCCUCCCUAGUAGCUGGGAUUACAGGCACCCGCCACCACACCAGGCUCAUUUUUGUAUUUUUAGUAGAGAUGGGGUUUCACCAUGUUGGCCAGGAUGGUCUUGAACUCCUGACCUCGUGAUCCACCUGCCUUGGCCUCCCAAAUAGCUGGGAUUACAGGCACCUGCCACCAUGCCCGGCUGAUUUUUGUAUUUUUAGUAGAGACGGGGUUUCACCAUGUUGGUCAGGCUGGUCUUGAACUCCGGACCUCAGGUGAUCCACCCGCCUCAGCCUCCCAAAUAGCUGGGAUUACAGGCAUGCGCCACCACGCCCGGCUAAGUUUUGUAUUUUUAGUAGAGACGGGGUUUCACCAUGUUGGUCAGGCUUGUCUUGAACUCCUGACCUCGUGAUCCUCCUGCCGCAGCCUCCCAAAGUGCUGGGAUGACAGGUAUGAGCCCUGCACCUGGCUAUGUAUUUUUAGUUCACAUAAAUGGUGUCGUGCUACAGUUCUUUUUCCACUGCAUCCUGCUGUUUGAAUGUUUCAUAACAAAUGGGUUUUAUAGAAUUCAAUACUCCACUCCUUCCCCGUAAACGUCCUACAUGCCAUGGACCCAUGACUCCACUUGUCCCAAUCCCCAGGAAUGGUGGAUUCUUUCUCCUUCCUGCAGGGCCCCGGAUCCUGUCUCUCUGGCACCCCCAGCCUGGGUGGGCACAGUGGGUGGAGGGGGAGGGGCAGACUUACCUGGGGCUGUU